rfam:Myotis davidii contig152519, whole genome shotgun sequence.
GCCAGUGCGGCUCAGUGGCUAGAGCGUCGGUCUGCGGACUGCAGGGUCCCGGGUUCGAUUCCCGGUCAACGGCA